GGAGUACACUCAGCUUGGACCCACAAGUCUUAACCCUGGCUUCUGCUCAAAACUACACCAACAGCACAUUUGGCUCCUUCCCCACAAGGCCUUGCAGGAACAAGGGAUGAGGCUGUUUGGUCAAAGACAGCAGGUAUGCACGUCACAUGUCCUGGCCCAGGGAUGGUGUCAGCCAAGGUGCACUCAGGACUAUAGCUUCUCAUUUCUGUACAUCUGCCAUAAGAGGACACAUUCUUCCUGUUCAGACAAAGCCACCGUGUGUGCUCACAGGAGCCCUAGGACUGGCCCAGAGGAAGCAGAGUGUGGCACACAGGAGCAGAGCUUCCCCAGCAAAGAUGCUGGCUGGAGCAGCAGUGAGCACAAAUGAUGUAUCUCCUCCUAUGGAAGAGCACUGCAGAGUUAAGUCCCUUCAUCCUAGACAGCAAGGCUUGGACCUUUCAAAGUUGCAGGAUCAACCACAGCUUCAGGACGAGCAAUUCUCAUUCAGCCAAAAGCCUACACAAGCAAUAUCUACAGAGAUUGCCAUGUGCUACAUCCCAACAAGGGGCCAAUCUGUAUCUGCAUGGUGGAAAUGAAAUGUGGAAGCGGCUGGCUAUUCUCAGAUCCUCCAGAGUCAUGGAAUCACUCAAGUUCAGACCAGGAACAAGUAUGGGACCCUCUAAGAG
ensembl:lncRNA